rnacentral:rRNA from 1 species
UACAGAGGAGCCAAGCGUUGUCCGGAUUGACUGGGCGUAAAGCGCACGCAGGCGGACGCGCGCGUGGGGUGUGAAAUCUGGCCGCUUAACGGCCAGCGGCCAUCCCAUACGGCGGGUCUGGAGCGAUGCAGAGGUCGGUGGAAUUGCCGGUGUAGUGGUGAAAUGCGUAGAGAUCAGGAAGAACACCGGUGGCGAAAGCGCUCUGCUGGACCUUAACUGACACUGAGGGACGAAAGCUAGGGGAGCGAAUGGG